AACCAGCCUAAGCUGAUCAGUUGCUUUGGCUAGUCUCCCAAGCUGGUUUUUAAGUGGUUUUGGCCACUGUCACGCUGGUCUUAGCUGGGUUUUAGCUGGUUUUUACUGAAUCCACUGGUUUAAGCUGGUUUUGGCCGGAUUAGCAUAGAAACAUGCUAACAACAUGCAAGUUACUCACUAAUCAGACUAGAAACAUACUUCUAACAUGGUUUAAAGUGGUUUUGGCCACUGUCACGCUGGCCUUACCUGGUCUUAGCUGGUUUUCUUUACUGAAUCAACUGGUUUUAGCUGGUUUAGUAUAGAAAAAUGAAAACAACAUGCUAGUUACUCACUAAUCAGACUAGAAACAUGCUUUUAACAUGGUUUUAAAGUGGUUUUGGCCACUGUCACGCUGGCCUUAGCUGGUCUUAGCUGGUUUUAGCUGGUUUUCCUUACUGAAUCAACUGGUUUUAGCUAGAUUAUCAUAGAAACAUGUUAACAACAUGUUAGUAACUUGAUAAUCAGGUUAGAAACAUGCUUUUAACAUGCUUUUAACAUGGUUUUAAAGUAGUUUUGGCCACUGUCACGCUGGUCUUAGCUGGUCUUAGCUGGUUUUAGCUGGUUUUCUUUACUGAAUCAACUGGUUUUAGCUAGAUUAUUAUAGAAACAUGCUAGCGACAUGCUAGUCACUUGCUAAUCAUGCUAGAAACAUGCUAGCGACAUGCUAGUCACUCGCUAAUCAUGAUAAAAACAUGCUAGUGACAUGCUAGUCACUUGCUAAUCAUGCUAGAAACAUGCUAGCGAC
ensembl:lncRNA